rnacentral:rRNA from 1 species
CUUAAAUUUUGGUUUAUAUCAUUAUUUAAAAUAAUAUUAUAUGAGUAAAAGAAUUGAACUUUAUCCACAAAAAAGUACUGAGAAGGAAAGUCUUGUCAAUUUUAAAGAAUUUAUUUAUUAUACCUUUUGUAUCAGGGUUUAUUCAAUUUUGACCACUAUUGUCAAGUCCCGAAAUAAGGUGAUUUAUGUUAAUUAAAGAUGAUUGUUUCAUAACUCUCUUAAAGAUUAACAUCGGUGUAAAAAAUAUUUCGUACCUAUAUAUCUGGUUGGCAGAAGACUCCUUUAGGGUACUCCGGAAGGAAGAUUUUCUAGGGGACGAGCUCUAGAAAAAAUUAUAUCAAAUUAUUACCAGUGAUAUGAAUAGGCUUAAAAGUUGCCAGGGUGUAAUAACCAGGGUCGUUUAAAUAAUAAUUUAAAGUUGAUUAAUUGAAUCUAGCCGAUGCUUAUUAUUAACAUUGAGCAGUCAUAAUGAUAAAAUUAGUAUAUGUAUAAAAAUGCAAUAGA